GAGUUGGGCACUCUAAAGAGACUGCGGUGUUAAACCGGAGGAAGGUGGGAUGACGUCAAGUCCUCAUGGCCUUUAUGCCCAGGGCUACACACGUGCUACAAUGGGUGGUACAAAGAGAUGCAAUCUCGCAAGAGCAAGCAAACCUCAAAAAGCCAUCCUCAGUUCGGAUUGGAGUCUGCAACUCGACUCCAUGAAGUCGGAAUCGCUAGUAAUCGCGGAUCAGCACGCCGCGGUGAAUACGUUCCCGGGCCUU
rnacentral:rRNA from 1 species